rnacentral:rRNA from 1 species
UACAGAGGGUGCGAGCGUUAAUCGGAAUUACUGGGCGUAAAGCGCGCGUAGGCGGCUUUGCAAGUCGGGUGUGAAAUCCCCAGGCUUAACCUGGGACUGCAUUCGAGACUGCAUUGCUAGAGUAUGGGAGAGGGAAGUGGAAUUUCCGGUGUAGCGGUGAAAUGCGUAGAUAUCGGAAGGAACAUCAGUGGCGAAAGCGACUUCCUGGACCAAUACUGACGCUCAUGUGCGAAAGCGUGGGGAGCAAACAGG